rnacentral:rRNA from 1 species
UACGUAGGGCGCGAGCGUUGUCCGGAUUUAUUGGGCGUAAAGAGCUCGUAGGCGGUUAUCCACGUCGGAUGUGAAAGCUCAGGGCUCAACCCUGAGAUGCCAUUCGAUACGGGAUAGCUAGAGGUAGGUAGGGGAAAGUGGAAUUCCUGGUGUAGCGGUGAAAUGCGCAGAUAUCAGGAGGAACACCGGUGGCGAAGGCGGCUUUCUGGGCCUUACCUGACGCUGGAGGAGCGAAAGCUGGGGGAGCGAACAGG